rnacentral:rRNA from 1 species
GGUUCAGAACGUCGUGAGACAGUUCGGUCCCUAUCCGUCGUGGGCGUAGGAAAUUUGAGAGGAGCUGUCCUUAGUACGAGAGGACCGGGAUGGACGCACCGCUGGUGUACCAGUUGUUCUGCCAAGGGCAUAGCUGGGUAGCUAUGUGCGGAAGGGAUAAGUGCUGAAAGCAUCUAAGCAUGAAGCCCCCCUCAAGAUGAGAUUUCCCAUAGCGUAAGCUAGUAAGAUCCCUGAAAGAUGAUCAGGUUGAUAGGUUCGAGGUGGAAGCAUGGUGACAUGUGGAGCUGACGAAUACUAAUAGAUCGAGGACUUAACCAUAUAA